rnacentral:rRNA from 1 species
AUUGAACGCUGGCGGCAGGCUUAACACAUGCAAGUCGAGCGGGGAAGGGUAGCUUGCUACCUGACCUAGCGGCGGACGGGUGAGUAAUGCUUAGGAAUCUGCCUAUUAGUGGGGGACAACAUUCCGAAAGGAAUGCUAAUACCGCAUACGCCCUACGGGGGAAAGCAGGGGAUCUUCGGACCUUGCGCUAAUAGAUGAGCCUAAGUCAGAUUAGCUAGUUGGUGGGGUAAAGGCCUACCAAGGCGACGAUCUGUAGCGGGUCUGAGAGGAUGAUCCGCCACACUGGGACGGAGACACGGCCCAGACUCCUACGGGAGGCAGCAGUGGGGAAUAUUGGACAAUGGGCGCAAGCCUGAUCCAGCCAUGCCGCGUGUGUGAAGAAGGCCUUUUGGUUGUAAAGCACUUUAAGCGAGGAGGAGGCUACUUGGAUUAAUACUCUAGGAUAGUGGACGUUACUCGCAGAAUAAGCACCGGCUAACUCUGUGCCAGCCGCCGCAGUAACAC